AUGUGUGAUUCGGCGAUGCCCUCACCACACCAUGACAUCCACCUCCCCUUCUCUUCGGCCGCCAUGGCGACCUGUAGUGGGCCUCGACGGCGACCUUGGUGGGGAGGGCGGCAGCGUUCCCGGGCUCGUGCAACUACUGCCCCCAAUCCCCUCCAGCUCCCCUCGUCCCCGCCCUCGAGCAGCAGCGUGGUGGUUGCCGCUAGACCCCUCUACGUGCAGUUCUCUUGCCAUGAAGUCGCGGUUAGCGGCAGGGCAUCGACCACCAGGACUGCAUCCUACCACCACGGCGUCUUUCCCAAUCCCUCCUCAUUCCAACAACGGCAGCGAGGUGCUCCACCACGAGUCCGGGGCAAGGACAGGCUCUGCCGUGCCGGGAACGAGGGAUUCCGCACCGGGAGCAAUUCGCCAGGGACGGGAGAACCACUCCAGGUGAUGCCGUUUGCGAGAUCCUGGAUGUGGCAUUGCAGUGCAUCUGGAUCUCUCUAG
rnacentral:rRNA from 1 species